rnacentral:rRNA from 1 species
AUACGGAAGGCAGCAGUGGGGAAUUUUGCGCAAUGGGCGAAAGCCUGACGCAGCAACGCCGCGUGGAGGAUGAAGGUCUUCGGAUUGUAAACUCCUGUCAGUGGGGAAAAAGGGGAACGGGCUCAUACCCCGUUUCAUUGAUUGUACCCGCAGAGGAAGCCCCGGCUAACUCUGUGCCAGCAGCCGCGGUAAUACAGAGGGGGCAAGCGUUAUUCGGAAUUAUUGGGCGUAAAGGGCGCGUAGGCGGCCCUUCAAGUGGUAGGUGAAAUCCCUCGGCUCAACCGAGGAGCUGCCCGCCAAACUGAAGAGCUUGAGUCCGGGAGAGGUGAGUGGAAUUCCCAGUGUAGCGGUGAAAUGCGUAGAUAUUGGGAGGAACACCAGUGGCGAAGGCGGCUCACUGGACCGGAACUGACGCUGAGGCGCGAAAGCGUGGGGAGCAAACGGGAUUAGAUACCCCGGUAGC